GGCUAGUCUGAAGGUGAUGAGUUAUGUCAACUGAUUGUUCAUUGUCAAACUCCUUGUUCUACUCUUUCUCCUCUUCUCACUACUGCACUUGACUAGUCUUAA
rfam:Gorilla gorilla gorilla genomic chromosome, chr4, whole genome shotgun sequence